CCCGGUUCUGGGGCUCCACCGCCCCCCGGUUCAUCGGCUCCUCCUGCGUGUCCCCCCGAGAGGCUCCCUGCUCUUACCGGGCGGCCCGGUGCCGUUCGCCCUCCCCAGGCGUUAUCCCGGGGGCCACUCCAGCAGCUGUCACCGAGCCGCCCCGACAGCCAGCGAGGGACUUGCGGCACGACGAGCACUUGGGGAAUUUCUCUUGUGUCUCCUGGACCAGUUAUUUAUAGGAAUCUCCAAAUCCAUCCAGUCCAGCUGCCCCUGGACUGCACAGUGACCCUCUCCCGAACAGGGAUUCCUCAGCACCACGGGGGCAGGACAUGCACCCUGUCCCCCCCCAGCUCCCAGUGCUCGGCAGACUGAAAAUACUCUGAACAGACUUGGAGUGACACAUGAACCCCACAGUCUAAGGCAGACCACAGUCAUUUGAAUUCUCCUCCAGCCUCAGUGCAGGGCUGGGCACACGGGCACUGGGCAGGAUCUGCCUCUGCAGCCUCAGGAGGCGAGUGAGGGCUCCCAGCCCAAGCUCGCCAGGCUCCUGGUGCUCUGCAGGCAAUAUACUGCCGAGCUGGCAGCAAUGCCAAACCAGCAGCUGACAACCAUGGAAUCAUCAAGGUUGGAAAAGACCUUCAAGAUCACUAACUCCAUUCUGUGACCAAUCCCCACCUUGACACCCAGUCCAGGACACCAAGUGCCACAUCGAGCCCUUCCUGGGAAUGUCCAAGGACUCCAAACCUCCCUGGGCAGCCCCUUCUAAUGCCUGACCACACUUUCCAGGAAGAAAUUCCUCCUGAUGUCCAACCCUGGAAGAACUUGAGGCCAUUUCUUCUUGUCCUGUCCCUUGCUCCCUGGGAGCAGAGCGCAAUUCCCCAUCAGGAAGUUGUGGAGAAUGAGAGGGGUUCCCCCUGAACCUCCUUUUCUCCAGGUGGAACAAACCCAGAAUAAUGACAGGUGUGUAACCAUGGCCUUCCCAGGAAACAGCACUGCAGAGCUGUUCAAUAAAGCACUUCCCAUCUCCCAGGGCAAACCCAGAAAGCUCCUGAAUGAUGUGGAAGCCCAAAACUCAAAGCAAAAUAAAAGUGGGUAGUGCCCUCUUGGGGCACACCUACCCAGGAUGA